AUUGAACGCUGGCGGCAUGCCUUACACAUGCAAGUCGAACGGUAACAGGUCUUCGGAUGCUGACGAGUGGCGAACGGGUGAGUAAUACAUCGGAACGUGCCCGAGAGUGGGGGAUAACGAGGCGAAAGCUUUGCUAAUACCGCAUACGAUCUCAGGAUGAAAGCAGGGGACCGCAAGGCCUUGCGCUCACGGAGCGGCCGAUGGCAGAUUAGGUAGUUGGUGGGAUAAAAGCUUACCAAGCCGACGAUCUGUAGCUGGUCUGAGAGGACGACCAGCCACACUGGGACUGAGACACGGCCCAGACUCCUACGGGAGGCAGCAGUGGGGAAUUUUGGACAAUGGGCGCAAGCCUGAUCCAGCCAUGCCGCGUGCAGGAUGAAGGCCUUCGGGUUGUAAACUGCUUUUGUACGGAACGAAAAGACUCUGGUUAAUACCUGGGGUCCAUGACGGUACCGUAAGAAUAAGCACCGGCUAACUACGUGCCAGCAGCCGCCGUAACAC
rnacentral:rRNA from 1 species